UACGAAGGUCCCAAGCGUUAUCCGGAUUUAUUGGGUUUAAAGGGUGCGUAGGCGGGUUGUUAAGUCAGUGGUGAAAGCUCCCAGCUCAACUGGGAAACUGCCAUUGAUACUGACAAUCUUGAGUAUGAUUGAGGUGGGCGGAAUGUGUCAUGUAGCGGUGAAAUGCUUAGAUAUGACACAGAACACCGAUUGCGAAGGCAGCUCACCAAGCCAUAACUGACGCUGAUGCACGAAAGCGUGGGGAGCAAACAGG
rnacentral:rRNA from 1 species